rnacentral:rRNA from 1 species
UGCUAUCGGGAUGGGUAUAAACCCUGCAAGUCUAAAUGGUAUAUUCAUGUCUAUACCAUUGGCAAAUCGCUCAGUAACACGUAGUUAAUCUACCCUGUGGAGGGGCAUAUCCACGGGAAACUGUGGUUAAUUCCCCAUAGGCCACGCGGACUGGAAUGUUGCGUGACCCAAAGGAUUUUCUGAGACUAUGUGAUGAAUUUCGCCAUAGGAUGAGACUGCGGCGGAUUAUGGUCGUUGGUGGGGUAACGGCCCACCAAGCCUUUGAUCCGUACGGGCCGUGAGAGCGGGAGCCCGGAGAUGGGAACUGAGAUACUGUCCCAAGCCCUACGGGGUGCAGCAGGCGCGAAACCUCCGCAAUGCACGCAAGUGUGACGGGGCCAUCCCGAGUGUCUUCGGACUUUUCUUCAGUGUAAGUAGCUGAAGGAAU